CCUACGGGGGGCAGCAGUGAGGAAUAUUGGUCAAUGGACGAGAGCCUGAACCAGCCAAGUCGCGUGAAGGAUGACUGCCCUAUGGGUUGUAAACCUCUUUUAUAUGGGAGUAAAAUGCGCCACGCGUGGGAUUUUGUGUGUACCCUAUGAAUAAGGAUCGGCUAACUCCGUGCCAGCAGCCGCGGUAAUACGGAGGAUCCGAGCGUUAUCCGGGUUUAUUGGGUUUAAAGGGAGCGUAGGUGGAUUGUUAAGUCAGUUGUGAAAGUUUGCGGCUCAACCGUAAGAUAGCAGUUGAAACUGGCAGUCUUGAGUACAGUAGAGGUAUGCGGAAUUCGUGGUGUAGCGGUGAAAUGCAUAGAUAUCACGAAGAACUCCGAUUGCGAAGGCAGCUCACUGGACUGCAACUGACACUGAGGCACGAAAGUGUGGGUAUCAAACAGGAUUAGAUACCCUUGUAGUC
rnacentral:rRNA from 1 species